rnacentral:rRNA from 1 species
CCCUUAGAUGUUCUGGGCCGCACGCGCGCUACACUGACGAUGGCAACGAGUUUUUCCUUCGCCGAAAGGUGUGGGUAAUCUUUUGAAACAUCGUCGUGCUGGGGAUAGAUCAUUGCAAUUUUUGAUCUUGAACGAGGAAUUCCUAGUAAGCGCGAGUCAUCAGCUCGCGUUGAUUACGUCCCUGCCCUUUGUACACGCCGCCCGUCGCUACUACCGAUUGAAUGGUUUAGUGAGGACUCCUGAUUGGCGCCGCCGCCCCGGCAACGGAGCAGCGGACUGCCGAAAAGUUGUUCAAACUUGAUCAUUUAGAGGAAGUAAAAGUCGUAACA